CUUGACCGCUGGCGGCAGGCCUAACACAUGCAAGUCGAACGAGUGGCGGACGGGUGAGUAAUGUCUGGGAAACUGCCUGAUGGAGGGGGAUAACUACUGGAAACGGUAGCUAAUACCGCAUACCAUCGGAUGUGCCCAGAUGGGAUUAGCUAGUUGGUGGGGUAAAGGCUCACCUAGGCGACGAUCCCUAGCUGGUCUGAGAGGAUGACCAGCCACACUGGAACUGAGACACGGUCCAGACUCCUACGGGAGGCAGCAGUGGGGAAUAUUGCACAAUGGGGGCAAGCCUGAUGCAGCCAUGCCGCGUGUAUGAAGAAGGCCUUCGGGUUGUAAAGUACUUUCAGCGGGGAGGCGUUACCCGCAGAAGAAGCACCGGCUAACUCCGUGCCAGCAGCCGCGGUAAUUC
rnacentral:rRNA from 1 species